rnacentral:rRNA from 1 species
AUACGUAGGGGGCGAGCGUUAUCCGGAAUUAUUGGGCGUAAAGAGUGCGUAGGUGGUUUUGUAAGCGCAGGGUUUAAGGCAAUAGCUUAACUAUUGUUCGCCUUGUGAACUGUGAGACUUGAGUGCAGGAGAGGAAAGUGGAAUUCCUAGUGUAGCGGUGAAAUGCGUAGAUAUUAGGAGGAACACCAGUGGCGAAGGCGACUUUCUGGACUGUAACUGACACUGAGGCACGAAAGCGAGGGGAGC